GAGGCAGCAGUGGGGAAUUUUGGACAAUGGGCGCAAGCCUGAUCCAGCCAUGCCGCGUGCGGGAAGAAGGCCUUCGGGUUGUAAACCGCUUUUGUCAGGGAAGAAAAGGUUCUGGCUAAUACCUGGGACUCAUGACGGUACCUGAAGAAUAAGCACCGGCUAACUACGUGCCAGCAGCCGCGGUAAUACGUAGGGUGCAAGCGUUAAUCGGAAUUACUGGGCG
rnacentral:rRNA from 1 species